rnacentral:lncRNA from 1 species
UGUUUUGGUGUUUAAAACAUAUAUUUAAUUUUUAAAAAUGGUAUAAAAUAAGAAAUUCACUCCCAAUGUUGAUUUGGUGUAAUAAAUCUAGUCACCUUGAGAAGGCUACUAUGUUAAACAAAUAUAUUAAGUGGCUAAGUAAUAUGUAUAUGAAUAUGUCUUUUAAUUCAAAGACAUGCAUUUGGAGUGUUCCAACCCAUCCUAUAAUGUUUGAAGCAAACAUAGCUCUUU